UCUGGGCCACCCACUAUUUCUCCCAUUAUUUCUGGGGAGGAGACUCGCUCCUGCCGGCGGGUGGCUGGAGGGCUGUGGAUAGAGUGGCCGUGACUGAGGGUCUGUGCACCCAAACUCGUCCGUGUCCUUUGGCUCCGGCAGUUUCUCUGGGAGGGUCGAGACUCGGGCCAGCCCGGCCGCGUUCCCCUCAGGCUGAGCGUCUGCGCCGGGCAUCUUCUCCCCGUCUUGCUUCAGCGGCCCCUUUGCUGCGGACCUCCCCCCCGCAGUGAGGCACGGUGAGGGCGUUUGGCUCUUCCCUCACAUUCCAGCCAGGGUCCAGAGAGUGGAGCUGCUUCGGCCAGAGUCAAGCGGGCUUUUUUUCCCCUUCAAAUUUUCCUCGCUGAGGACUGUAACAGAAAGAGGAGAGAAGACACAGAGGGAGAAGAGACAGAGGCAAGAUAGAAGACACAAGAGAAGACACAGAAGCAAGAGGGAAGACACAGAAGCAGAGAGAAGACACAGAAACAGAGACAGGCGAGGUUGAAAGAGACCAGAGGAGAGACUACAGAGACAGAGACAGACAGAAGAGAGCACAGUGGCACACACAGAAGCAGAGCACAAGGAGAAGCCAUCCUGAUCUGAGACCCAUGUGACUGCUCCUGCCGAAACACUGUUAGCUUGCAGCUCCAGAGUGCCCGAGGUGCUGUGCAGAG